rnacentral:rRNA from 1 species
AGCGAACGCUGGCGGCAGGCUUAACACAUGCAAGUCGAGCGGGGGAAGGCAGCUUGCUACCGGACCUAGCGGCGGACGGGUGAGUAAUGCUUAGGAAUCUGCCUAUUAGUGGGGGACAACAUCUCGAAAGGGAUGCUAAUACCGCAUACGUCCUACGGGAGAAAGCAGGGGAUCUUCGGACCUUGCGCUAAUAGAUGAGCCUAAGUCGGAUUAGCUAGUUGGUGGGGUAAAGGCCUACCAAGGCGACGAUCUGUAGCGGGUCUGAGAGGAUGAUCCGCCACACUGGGACUGAGACACGGCCCAGACUCCUACGGGAGGCAGCAGUGGGGAAUAUUGGACAAUGGGGGGAACCCUGAUCCAGCCAUGCCUGGUGUGUGAAGAAGGCCUUAUGGUUGUAAAGCACUUUAAGCGAGGAGGAGGCUACUCUAGUUAAUACCUAGGGAUAGUGGACGUUACUCGCAGAAUAAGCACCGGCUAACUCUGUGCCAGCCGCCGCCGUAA